AACGAACGCUGGCGGCAUGCCUAACACAUGCAAGUCGAACGAGACCUUCGGGUCUAGUGGCGCACGGGUGCGUAACGCGUGGGAACCUGCCCUUAGGUUCGGAAUAACUCCCCGAAAGGGGUGCUAAUACUGGAUAAUGUCUUCGGACCAAAGAUUUAUCGCCUUUGGAUGGUCCCGCGUUGGAUUAGCUAGUUGGUAGGGUAAAAGCCUACCAAGGCGACGAUCCAUAGCUGGUCUGAGAGGAUGAUCAGCCACACUGGGACUGAGACACGGCCCAGACUCCUACGGGAGGCAGCAGUGGGGAAUAUUGGACAAUGGGCGAAAGCCUGAUCCAGCAAUGCCGCGUGAGUGAUGAAGGCCUUAGGGUUGUAAAGCUCUUUUACCCGGGAUGAUAAUGACAGUACCGGGAGAAUAAGCUCCGGCUAACUCCGUG
rnacentral:rRNA from 1 species